UACGAAGGGGGCUAGCGUUGCUCGGAAUCACUGGGCGUAAAGCGCACGUAGGCGGAUCCUUAAGUCGGGGGUGAAAUCCUGGAGCUCAACUCCAGAACUGCCUUCGAUACUGAGGAGCUCGAGUCCGGGAGAGGUGAGUGGAACUGCGAGUGUAGAGGUGAAAUUCGUAGAUAUUCGCAAGAACACCAGUGGCGAAGGCGGCCCACUGGCCCGGUACUGACGCUGAGGUGCGAAAGCGUGGGGAGCAAACAGG
rnacentral:rRNA from 1 species